GACGAACCGUGCGAACGUUGUUCGGAUUCACUGGGCUUAAAGGGCGCGUAGGCGGGCAUGCAAGUCAGGGGUGAAAGCUCCCGGCCUAACCGGGAAAGUGCCUUUGAUACUGCAUGUCUGGAGGGAGGUAGGGGCACGCGGAACUUCCGGUGGAGCGGUGAAAUGCGUAGAUAUCGGAAGGAACGCCGGUGGCGAAAGCGGCGUGCUGGACCUCUGCUGACGCUGAGGCGCGAAAGCCAGGGGAGCAAACGGG
rnacentral:rRNA from 1 species